rnacentral:rRNA from 1 species
UACGUAGGGCGCAAGCGUUUAUCCGGAAUUAUUGGGCGUAAAGAGCUCGUAGGCGGUUUGUCGCGUCUGCCGUGAAAGUCCGGGGCUCAACUCCGGAUCUGCGGUGGGUACGGGCAGACUAGAGUGAUGUAGGGGAGACUGGAAUUCCUGGUGUAGCGGUGAAAUGCGCAGAUAUCAGGAGGAACACCGAUGGCGAAGGCAGGUCUCUGGGCAUUAACUGACGCUGAGGAGCGAAAGCAUGGGGAGCAAACAGG